AGCAGCCGCGGUAAUUCCAGCUCCAAUAGCGUAUAUUAAAGUUGUUGCAGUUAAAAAGCUCGUAGUUGAACCUCGGGGUCUACCCAUUGGUCAGGCUUAAUUGUCUGCACUGGUGAGAUGGAUCUCUACCUUCUGAGGAACUUUCAUGCCAUUUAUUUGGUGUGAUGGGAAAUCAGGACUGUUACUUUGAAAAAAUUAGAGUGUUUAAAGCAGACUAUCGUCUGAAUACAUUAGCAUGGAAUAAUGAAAUAGGACGGACUGAUUCUAUUUCGUUGGUUUCUAGGAUCACCGUAAUGAUUAAUAGGGAUAGUUGGGGGCAUUAGUAUUCAAUUGUCAGAGGUGAAAUUCUUGGAUUUAUUGAAGACUAACUACUGCGAAAGCAUUUGCCAAGGAUGUUUUCAUUAAUCAAGAACGAAAGUUAGGGGAUCGAAGACGAUCAGAUACCGUCGUAGUCUUAACCAUAAACUAUGCCGACUAGGGAUCGGAUGAUGUUAAUUUUUUAAUGACUCG
rnacentral:rRNA from 1 species